UGUAACCAUGUGAGGAGAUGAUGGAGACGAGUGACUUGGUGUAUAGAGAGAAAAAGAGAGGGCCAAGAACCGAGCCCUGGGGGACACUAGUAGUGAGUGUAUGUAGUGCAGACACACAUCCUCACAUCCUCCUCUCUCAUCCUCAGGCUCUCAGUGUGCAGAGCCUGAGACGCCCAGCCCUGAGAGGGUGGAGAGGAGGAUCUGAUAGAGCCUGAGACGACCAGCCCUGAGAGGGUGGAGAGGAGGAUCUGAUAGAGUCUGAGACGCCCAGCCCUGAGAGGGUGGAGAGGAGGAUCAGAGAGAUCCAGAGAGAGAGGAGAAGGUGUUAAAGGGUUAGAGGCAGAGAGAGAAAGGAGAAGGUGUUAAAGGGUUAGAGGCAGAGAGAGAGAGGAGAAGGUGUUAAAGGGUUAGAGGCAGAGAGAGAGAGGAGAAGGUGUUAAAGGGUUAGAGGCAGAGAGAGAGAGGAGAAGGUGUUAAAGGGUUAGAGGCAGAGAGAGAGAGGAGAAGGUGUUAAAGGGUUAGAGGCAGAGAGAGAGAGGAGAAGGUGUUAAAGGGUUAGAGGCAGAGAGAGAGAGGAGAAGGUGUUAAAGGGUUAGAGGCAGAGAGAGAGGAGAAGGUGUUAAAGGGUUAGAGGCAGAGAGAGAAAGGAGAAGGUGUUAAAGGGUUAGAGGCAGAGAGAGAGAGGAGAAGGUGUUAAAGGGUUAGAGGCAGAGAGAGAGAGGAGAAGGUGUUAAAGGGUUAGAGGCAGAGAGAGAGAGGAGAAGGUGUUAAAGGGUUAGAGGCAGAGAGAGAGAGGAGAAGGUGUUAAAGGGUUAGAGGCAGAGAGAGAGAGGAGAAGGUGUUAAAGGGUUAGAGGCAGAGAGAGAGAGGAGAAGGUGUUAAAGGGUUAGAGGCAGAGAGAGAGAGGAGAAGGUGUUAAAGGGUUAGAGGCAGAGAGAGAGAGGAGAAGGUGUUAAAGGGUUAGAGGCAGAGAGAGAGAGGAGAAGGAGAGAUGGGAGAGAAAAGGAAACAAAAUAGUGAUCAUAGACCUGGGAGGCGCUCCAGUGAGAUUAGUAGAACAGCCUCUAGUAAAGAUGUCAAGUGACUCGCCUGCUUUGUCAGUGGGAGGGGACUGUGAAAGUGGGACUGUGGAAGUGAGAGGGGACUGUGAAAGUGAGAGGGGACUGUGGAAGUGAGAGGGGACUGUGGAAGUGAGAGGGGACUGUGGAAGUGAGAGGGGACUGUGGAAGUGAGAGGGGACUGUGGAAGUGAGAGGGGACUGUGGAAGUGAGAGGGGACUGUGGAAGUGAGAGGGGACUGUGAAAGUGGGAGGGGACUAUGAAAGUGGGAGGGGAUUGUGAAAGGGUGAGGUUAAAAGAGGCAAGGAAGGGAACGAGAGAGUUUGAAAGAAAUGAAUCGAAGACAGACAUCGGGAGGUUGAAGUUGCCAAGUAUGAAGAGCGGUGAGCCAUCGUCAGGAAAUUAGCUCAUUCAAGGUGUCAAACUCAUUGAGGAACUCUUCAAAGGCACCUGGUGGAUGAUAGAUUACAACAAUGUCAUGCUUGAUUGGACAAGUGACAGUGACAGCAUGGAAUUCAAAUGAGGAGCUGGACAGGUGAGAGAAAUUAAAAUCUCCAGUUUGGAGAAAUGAGUAGGGCUGUGCUGCAGCCGUGACGACCAGAUGCUCUCAGACGAUGAGAGAAAACGUAGUCCGAUGUAGAGAGAGCAGCUAGAGUAGCAGUGUUCUCUGAGGUGAUCCAUGUCUCCGUCAGGGACAAAAAGUCAAAGGGCUGAAUGGCAGAAUAGGCUGAGAGGAACUCUUGACCGCAGAUGGGCAGCUCCAAACGCUGUCAGAGACCAGGAACUCCACAUCGGUUGUGCGCUCAGGGUAAACUCAAUUAGAAGAGUUGCAGCGUCUGUAAAGCCCACAGGAAGAGGAGAGAACAGGUAUAGAAAACACACAAAAUAACUAGGUAAGAUACUCAAGUGAGAGACUGGAGUCUUCCUCUAGUUCCUUCCUCAAACAACUCGGCAUAACCAUCCUAAUUUUGGCGACAGUCUUACUUCUGCAGACGAGACCGACACUUCUAGCUCCCGCUGAAAAACCAGGGGAGACUGAAGUACUAACACUAUUUGACAGUUGCCUAGCAGAGGUGAAGAGCACACCUCCUUGUACUAAUUGCUGAUUGCCUAGGAGAGGAGAAACCACUCCCCCUCCAAUACAGGCACCGAUUACCAAAAUGACAAGAGUCCCACGUCAACCUGCCCCUUAAUCCUGGUUGAUGUGUCAACAAUCAUCUGCAAGUUAUAAGCAGUCAGUAGUUCCCACACCAAGUAGGCUGCUGGGAAGACAGUCAGCAGUUCCCACACCAAGUAGGCUGCUGGGAAGACAGUCAGCAGUUCCCACACCAAGUAGGCUGCUGGGAAGACAGUCAGCAGUUCCCACACCAAGUAGGCUGCUGGGAAGACAGUCAGCAGUUCCCACACCAAGUAGGCUGCUGGGAAGACAGUCAGCAGUUCCCACACCAAGUAGGCUGCUGGGAAGACAGUCAGCAGUUCCCACACCAAGUAGGCUGCUGGGAAGACAGUCAGUAGUUCCCACACCAAGUAGGCUGCUGGGAAGACAGUCAGCAGUUCCCACACCAAGUAGGCUGCUGGGAAGACAGUCAGCA